rnacentral:tRNA from 1 species
GGGCCGUUAGCUCAGUAGGUAGAGCAUCUGACUCUUAAUCAGAGGGUCGCAGGUUCGAGGCCUGCACGGCCUACCA